rnacentral:lncRNA from 1 species
AAAGGGCUAGGGAUGUGGCUCAUGAUUAAGCACUCCUGAGUUCAAUCCCUGGUACCAAAAAGAAAAAAAAAAAUGAACACAGGCUGAUAAAGCAACUACCUCCUCCAGGUCUGGGGUGCCUAGCCGAUGGGAAAAAGAAGCCAGAGGAUCUCUUGCCAGCAUUCAGAUGUCCCUCACUGUCCCACUGUCCCAUGCUCACUGGCUGGCACACUAUAAAAUGGCACUGUCCAACUAUGAGGGGGUUAGGCGGCACAACCCUCCCUUGUGUCCAGGAGGAGAAAAUAUUUGGUGAGCCACAGAAAUCCCCACCACUUGUACCAUGCCAUAUAUUCUUGGUCCCUUCUUUUUUCUUCCCUAAUUUGGCUAAUUUGACCUCAGCUAAAUUGUGUAGGACACACAUAGCCUCUUUAACUCUGACCCUACUUGUCUUCCAGUUUUUUCAAGUACUGCAAGAAACUGUCUUUCCUUUGUGUGAGUCAUUGGUGAGCCCAAAGGAAAGAUCCUGUCUUGCAGUGAAAUUGUACAUUACUAAAGAGCUUCUGAAACCACCCGACGUUCUUUCUGAUCUCCACAAACAUCUCUCUGAGCUCUCUCUCAUCCCGCUGAAGUUAAAGCUGUCUUUCCUCCAGUGUCAAUAUUCAAGAUAAAUAAAUUAGUGAUGGUCACAUUCACUGCUAUUUAGUUUUUUCCCUUAAUUGGCAAUGGCAUUGAGUAGUACUGUUUUCUAUCAAACAUGAAACCUUUCUAGGCACAUCACAAAUUAAAUGAACUUUCAUGAUAAAUUGAUUCCUAAUCACCAAUUUUAAUUUGCUUUUCAGAGAGAUUGUAUUUUAAAUUCUAGAUAACUGAUUUAUAAACCCUGUUUUGGAAUAAGCUCUAUUUCUUGGUUUGGGGUCUUUUUCUAUAGCAAAUUUCU